rnacentral:tRNA from 1 species
GGAUGUAGCUCAGUAGUAGAGCACAUGAAUAGCAUGUGUGAGGUCCUGGGUUCAAGCCCCAGUACCUCCA